AACGAACGCUGGCGGCAUGCCUAACACAUGCAAGUCGAACGAGACCUUCGGGUAUUUGUGCGCACGGGUGCGGCAGGCGUGGGGAGCUGCCCUUGUGUUCGGUCUAACUCCCCGAGGGGGACGCUAAUACCGAAUGAUUUCUUAGACCCCAUGAUUUCUUGCAUCAGGAUGGGCCCGUGUUUGAUUAGCGAGUUGGUCACGUAAAGGCCUACCAAGGCGGUGUUCCAUAGCUGGUCUGAGAGGAUGACCAGACACCCUGGGACUGCGGCACGGCCCAGACUCCGGCGGUAGGCGGCAGUGUGGACUAGUGGACACGGGGCGAAAGCGUAGUCCUGCAGUGCCGCGUAAGUGGUGAAGGGCUUAGGAUUGUAAUGCGCUUUGACCCGGGAUGAUAAUGACGGUACCGGGAAAAUAAGCACCGGCUAACUCCGU
rnacentral:rRNA from 1 species